rnacentral:rRNA from 1 species
GACGAACCGUGCGAACGUUGUUCGGAUUCACUGGGCUUAAAGGGCGCGUAGGCGGGUCGGUCCGUCUGGGGUGAAAUCCUCUCGCUUAACGAGAGAACGGCCCUGGAUACCACCGAUCUCGAGGGAGGUAGGGGCAUGUGGAACUUCCGGUGGAGCGGUGAAAUGCGUAGAUAUCGGAAGGAACGCCGGUGGCGAAAGCGACGUGCUGGACCUUUUCUGACGCUGAGGCGCGAAGGCCAGGGGAGCAAACGGG